UACGUAGGGCGCGAGCGUUGUCCGGAUUUAUUGGGCGUAAAGAGCUCGUAGGCGGCUUGUCGCGUCGACUGUGAAAACCCGCGGCUCAACUGCGGGCCUGCAGCCGAUACGGGCAGGCUAGAGUUCGGUAGGGGAGACUGGAAUUCCUGGUGUAGCGGUGAAAUGCGCAGAUAUCUGGAGGAACACCGGUGGCGAAGGCGGCAUCCUGGACCGGCAUUGACGCUGAGGAGCGAAAGCCAGGGGAGCAAACGGG
rnacentral:rRNA from 1 species